rnacentral:lncRNA from 1 species
GCACAGUCACUUCAUCACCAAUGAUCCAACAGAAGCAGAUCUCUUCUUCAUGCCUUUUUCCAUUGUCGAAAUGCGCCAUGAUCUGAGAAUUGGAGUAGAAGGGAUCAAAGAUUUUGUGAAGAACUAUGUAGUGAACAUCAGCCAGACUUAUCCUUACUGGAACCGAACAGGCGGUGCUGAUCAUUUUUAUGUUGCUUGUCAUUCAUCCAGUAGAUCAGCCAUGGAGAAAAUCAACGAGGUGCAGUUCAAUUCCAUCCAAGUUGUAUGCUCUUCCAGUUAUUUCCUUUCAGGUUAUGUCGCUCACAAGGAUGCUUCCUUGCCCCAAAUUUGGCCUAGACCUGGAGAUCCCCCCGAAUCUUCAUACAUCAGAAAGGUGAUACUUCUUUAAUCUAAACAUCAGAAAGGUGACUAAAAUGAUUUCUAUUACUUUUGAAAUUCACAGCACCAAAAACAUAUUCAUGAAAUUAACUAUAUAUAUAUAUACAUACAGAAAGCAAUUAGCAUUCUUCGCCGGACAAAUCAACUCGCCAGUGCGGGCAGCUCUGGUAAAAAUAUGGAGAAAUGACACGGACAUAUUUGCUCACUUCGGGCGGUUCAAAAAACCAUAUGGAUACCAGCUAAUGAGGAGCAAGUUCU